rnacentral:rRNA from 1 species
CCCUUAGAUGUUCUGGGCCGCACGCGCGCUACACUGACGAUGGCAACGAGUUUUUCCUUCGCCGAAAGGUGUGGGUAAUCUUUUGAAACAUCGUCGUGCUGGGGAUAGAUCAUUGCAAUUUUUGAUCUUGAACGAGGAAUUCCUAGUAAGCGCGAGUCAUCAGCUCGCGUUGAUUACGUCCCUGCCCUUUGUACACACCGCCCGUCGCUACUACCGAUUGAAUGGUUUAGUGAGGACUCCCGAUUGGCGCCGCCGCCCCGGCAACGGAGCAGCGGACUGCCGAAAAGUUGUUCAAACUUGAUCAUUUAGAGGAAGUAAAAGUCGUAACA